CGGGAGAGUGGCGAACGGGUGAGUAAUGCGUGACCGACCUGCCCCGUACACCGGAAUAGCUCCUGGAAACGGGUGGUAAUGCCGGAUGCUCCAGUCCAUCGCAUGGUGGUCUGGGAAAGAUUUUAUCGGUAUGGGAUGGGGUCGCGUCCUAUCAGGUAGUCGGCGGGGUAACGGCCCACCGAGCCUACGACGGGUAGCCGGCCUGAGAGGGCGACCGGCCACAUUGGGACUGAGAUACGGCCCAGACUCC
rnacentral:rRNA from 1 species